rnacentral:lncRNA from 1 species
AGCCCUUAGAACACUGAUAUAUCCACCUCCUGUAUCCACCGAGCAGCACUGAGCAACAGAAAUGUAACCCAAACCCAGCAUAUUCUUCAAAAUCUGGGAAGUACAAUUUUUACCUCAAUUUGGACUACUCACAUUUCAAGUCCUCAAUAGACACAUGUGGCUGGUGACUGCAGUAUUGGCACACGGUUCUAGGAUCUGUGUCAAGGGAGAGAGCCAUCAGUCAUUCUCAUCUCUUGAAUUUCAUGGCCUCAUUGCUUCCUUCCCACCUGUAAUCACAGCUGUGCCUGUGUGACACACACUAGAGUGCUAGUGAUGGUUUAUGGGUUUCAAGGCUACAGUGUUGCAGACUCUGCCUGGCUCCCUUGGAUUACCUAGACUGGGGGAAGCCUUAAGCCCUCUCAUGACGACAUGGAAGUAGCCCUGUGGACAGCUACACAUGGAAAAACUGAGGUUCUCAGUCAACAACUGGUAUCAACUUGCCAGCCAUGUGAAUGAGCCACUUUGAAAGUAUAGCUCCCAGCUCAGCCAGGCCUUCAGAUGACUGCAGCCCCCACAUCUGGCAUCAAUCACCUAAGCCUUCGAGUGGGAAAUGUACAGCCAAGCCCUUCUAGAAACCCUGAUCUGCAGAAUCUAUGAUCACAAUAAAUUACUGCUUUAUGACAUGA